UAUCAGAAGUGCGAAUGCUGACAUAAGUAACGAUAAAGCGGGUGAAAAGCCCGCUCGCCGGAAGACCAAGGGUUCCUGUCCAACGUUAAUCGGGGCAGGGUGAGUCGACCCCUAAGGCGAGGCCGAAAGGCGUAGUCGAUGGGAAACGGGUUAAUAUUCCCGUACUUGGUGUUACUGCGAAGGGGGGACGGAGAAGGCUAUGUUGGCCGGGCGACGGUUGUCCCGGUUUAAGCGUGUAGGUGUGUGUUCCAGGUAAAUCCGGUUCACUUUAACACUGAGGCGUGAUGACGAGGCACCACGGUGCUGAAGCAACAAAUGCCCUGCUUCCAGGAAAAGCCUCUAAGCAUCAGGUAACAUCAAAUCGUACCCCAAACCGACACAGGUGGUCAGGUAGAGAAUACCAAGGCGCUUGAGAGAACUCGGGUGAAGGAACUAGGCAAAAUGGUGCCGUAACUUCGGGAGAAGGCACGCUGACACGUAGGUGAAGUGAUUUACUCAUGGAGCUGAAGUCAGUCGAAGAUACCAGCUGGCUGCAACUGUUUAUUAAAAACACAGCACUGUGCAAACACGAAAGUGGACGUAUACGGUGUGACGCCUGCCCGGUGCCGGAAGGUUAAUUGAUGGGGUCAGCGCAAGCGAAGCUCCUGAUCGAAGCCCCGGUAAACGGCGGCCGUAACUAUAACGGUCCUAAGGUAGCGAAAUUCCUUGUCGGGUAAGUUCCGACCUGCACGAAUGGCGUAAUGAUGGCCAGGCUGUCUCCACCCGAGACUCAGUGAAAUUGAACUCGCUGUGAAGAUGCAGUGUACCCGCGGCAAGACGGAAAGACCCCGUGAACCUUUACUAUAGCUUGACACUGAACAUUGAGCCUUGAUGUGUAGGAUAGGUGGGAGGCUUUGAAGCGUGGACGCCAGUCUGCGUGGAGCCGACCUUGAAAUACCACCCUUUAAUGUUUGAUGUUCUAACGUGGACCCGUAAUCCGGGUUGCGGACAGUGUCUGGUGGGUAGUUUGACUGGGGCGGUCUCCUCCUAAAGAGUAACGGAGGAGCACGAAGGUUGGCUAAUCCUGGUCGGACAUCAGGAGGUUAGUGCAAUGGCAUAAGCCAGCUUGACUGCGAGCGUGACGGCGCGAGCAGGUGCGAAAGCAGGUCAUAGUGAUCCGGUGGUUCUGAAUGGAAGGGCCAUCGCUCAACGGAUAAAAGGUACUCCGGGGAUAACAGGCUGAUACCGCCCAAGAGUUCAUAUCGACGGCGGUGUUUGGCACCUCGAUGUCGGCUCAUCACAUCCUGGGGCUGAAGUAGGUCCCAAGGGUAUGGCUGUUCGCCAUUUAAAGUGGUACGCGAGCUGGGUUUAGAACGUCGUGAGACAGUUCGGUCCCUAUCUGCCGUGGGCGCUGGAAGACUGAGGGGGGCUGCUCCUAGUACGAGAGGACCGGAGUGGACGCAUCACUGGUGUUCGGGUUGUCAUGCCAAUGGCACUGCCCGGUAGCUAAAUGCGGAAAAGAUAAGUGCUGAAAGCAUCUAAGCACGAAACUUGCCCCGAGAUGAGUCUUCCCUGAGACCUUGAGUCUCCUGAAGGAACGUUAAAGACGAUGACGUUGAUAGGCCGGGUGUGUAAGCGCAGCGAUGCGUUGAGCUAACCGGUACUAAUGAACCGUGAGG
rnacentral:rRNA from 2 species